CCCGGCUUCUAGAAACUCUGCCCGCUCUGUCCAUCUCCAGGCUGGGGCACCGCGGUACAGGACUGGCGGCAAGAUCCAGCCCCGCCCCACCCAAGCUUGAGUGGGCGGGGCCAAUGGGCAGGGGCGGGGCUGGCGGCGGCGCGGUGAGAGUGGCUGCCCCUGCGCCUGCGCAGUCUCAUGGCCGAGGCCUGGGCUGCUCUUAGGGUUUCUGCAGCCGGUAGCUGGGGCGCCUGGAGAAGGGAAAGGGAAUGCCGUAGAGUAGGGCGCGCCUGGGACCCCGACUCAGCCCCAAGUGAGCCCGAGGUCUGCAGUGAAACAGGGAGGAUGUAAAGACCCAGCAACCACUGUCUUGUUAAGCACAGCUCCAGCGGAAACCCUGGUCUUCUGGAAGAACUGAAGCUGUUGUUUCUUAGGCUGUGGAGAGGGUUAGUUAACCCCUCCCUCCAUCUGGCUAAUUCCUAAGCUUUUAUUUAGUGAACCUUUGUACCUCCUGACCAACCAGGAACACGAGAGUAGUAACCCACAUAGGGGGUAGGAUGUGGGGGGGGGGGGGGGGUGAUGGCUUUAAACCGUGUAUGGGCUCAGAGCCACAUUUGGGAAGAUGCCACCUCCUUGUUAAAUGCUUAACAAGGCAUUUUUGGUGUUCUUAAGGGUCUUUACACAAGUUCAUUUGAACACUAAAGUGUACUAAAAAAGUAAAUUAUUUUCAUUAAUAACUUUAAAGAGGUAGCCACAGAUCCAGGUUUUUUUUUUCCUGGCUUUCCAAACAAUUUGCAUUUGGGGGUUGAAAGGUGUGGUACAGACAUGUCAGGGGCUGUAACUGAGGAGGGGGGCUGUACUGCUCUUGGAGAGAGACCCCCCAAGAGCAGCUGUGGUGUGUAUCGUGGGCACAGAAGGGAUGAUGCAGAUCACAAUGCAUUUGUUGUCGUCAGAUUUAGUCAAGCCAGGUGCUGCUUGUUGUUCUGGCCCCAGCAGGCAAGGACGACUGGGAAGCUCAGGAUUUUAGGGCUUGGAGUCUACUGUAUUCAGAAGAACCUUCUAAACUGGGCAACACUCUGGGAGAUCUUCUCAAGUAUGGAGAAAUCUCAGUGUGAUAAUGAGGCUCUUGUACGAUUUGCAAACAACCUGCUGCUCUCAUAGGGACAGCACACACUUAAUAAACACUGAUUAUAAAAAUGGGUAGAAAGAAUUUAUAGGUUGUCCAACCAAACCUUUGUUCUCGAGUCCUAAAAAGUACCCCACAGAGCAAAACAAAAUUCUAAGAGCAGCGAGUACAUAAGCCUGUUCCAUUAUUACUAAAUAGUCUUUUAAAUCUUACAUAGUAAAAUAUUUACAUGGAUUUUUAAAGUUUGAAAAAAAAUGUUGAAAAUAACUUGAGAAGGGAAAGUUGGUCCUAAGCUAUUGUAGUCUUUCAGAGCAGUUUUUAAAAAAGCCAUAAAUCUUUGGACAAUAACUUAGUGACCACGCUUUCUCCUCCAGAGACUUUUCAGACAAUUGGGUUCUGGAACUGGAGUCUGUUUCCCUUGUGAUUUUGGGAUCCACAAAGCGCUGUGAAGACCUGGUCGAAGGUUCAGCGACAUUGGGGAGUUAAAAAGCUUUCACACUGGUUCGGUUUUUAGGCCUGCAGAUAAAUGUUAUCCAUUCUCACCUACCAUUUUUUCAUAUUUACAGUGUUGCGGAGGCUUUGCUGGUCUCAGGGCACUGACUGGCACUGGAGACUGUACUCCACCUUUCUCACACGUGGCCCUUGUGACGGCAGCAUGGCUAGCGGCUCUCCCAUAACCCGAGACUCACAAAAACUCAAGCAUACCAGGGUCCACAUCAUCCAAUUUGCUGAAACAAUCUACACGACUUUGGUCUGGAGGCCAAUGGUACCGUCACCGGCGUUAGGGAAUACUUUGGGGAAGUGUCCAUGGAGGCCCAGGCCCAUGCUAUUCUUAAAACUCUCACUACAAGCGCACACACCCCUUUGGUUUAUCAAUAUCCAUCAUGUUUAUGGUAUUGGUAUCAUUAUUUGUUGAAAGACCCGCGAAGGCAAUUUACGUCAUUAUUUUUAAUAUUAUCUUAACUUGGACAUCCUCCAGUUACACACAGAGAUAGCAGCUAGGCACUUCUGCUCUGGAACUGACAACUGGAGCUAUGUGGCGCUGUUCAUUUUGACAUGCCUUUGUUUAAACUCAAGUCAAACCUCUAA